rnacentral:rRNA from 1 species
AGUGGCAAACGGGUGAGUAAUAUGUGGGAAUCUGCCUUUUGGCCUGGAAUAACACGAGGAAACUUGUGCUAAUACUGGAUAAGCCUUUACAGGGAAAGCUUUAUGCACCGAUAGAUGAGCCCGCACUUGAUUAGUUUGUUGGUGAGGUAAUGGCUCACCAAGACUAUGAUCAAUAGCUGAUUUGAGAGGAUGAUCAGCCACAUUGGGACUGAGACACGGCCCAAACUCCUACGGGAGGCAGCAGUGGGGAAUCUUGCACAAUGGGGGAAACCCUGAUGCAGCGAUGCCGCGUGAGUGAAGAAGGCCUUUGGGUUGUAAAGCUCUUUCGUCGGGGAAGAAAAUGACUGUACCCGAAUAAGAAGGUCCGGCUAACUUCGUGCCAGCAGCCGCGGUAAUACGAAGGGACCUAGCGUAGUUCGGAAUUACUGGGCUUAAAGAGUUCGUAGGUGGUUGAAAAAGUUGGUGGUGAAAUCCCAGAGCUUAACUCUGGAACUGCCAUCAAAACUUUUCAGCUAGAGUAUGAUAGAGGAAAGCAGAAUUUCUAGUGUAG